GGUCUCCAUGGAGACAUAAAUGCCCAAGUAACUGAUGCUACUACCUGGAGGGACUCACCUUUACCAACACCAAGGGAGCCAGCCCUGAGAGUUCAUGCCAAGUCAUCUUUCUCCUGCUUUGUUCCCUGGAACUGAUAAACUGCUGCUUCGAAAAACCAGAAGGCCUUGCCUCUAUUUUGUUUUCAGUUCUACUCCCUAAGAGCCUCAGCAUAAAUAUGAGAGGAGAUAAAGGGAAAGUUAAGAAACUUCUGUUAGCAUUCUGAUGUUCAAACCCAAGUCUUGAUCUUCCUGUUGAGGGCCAUCCAAGAGCACCAUGAUGAAGUGGAAAGAGAUUGUUCACAAGAAUGAUCACUUACAGAAGACUGAGCCCAAGGCCCUUGCUGAUGGAUUCCCAGACUUAUAUGCAUCCGAGAUUGAAGAACUUAAACAUCUUGCCCUUGCCAUGACCACAAAUCAGAGAGUAAUAAAAUUUAAUGUCCAUGGACUUUGACCUUCAAAAGACCAAAGACAGGCUGUUUCAAGAACGCGGUCUUGAACAAUUUGUUGACAUCUUCACAAAAGAAAAAUAAUUCUCUAAAUCAGUAACUGAGUCUCCGGAAGGUUUCUUCUUGGAAACCCCCACAUAGUCUCAUGAGCACCUACAAUGACAGAAAGGGAAAUUUAGAGAAUGAAGAGAAAACUUCUAAGAUGUUCGUAGAAUGCUUCAGGGAAGAGGUUUGAUAAUGAGCUGUUCAUGAAAGAUUGAACUCAUGAAACUGGGGAUAAGGAAGACAGUCUCGGAGGGGAAAAUGGCACAAGCAAACGUGUGGAGGAAAUGCAAGUGUGAAGAAUGGGCAUCACCAAUUCUUACAUGAGUGAUCACCUCAGGGUGUGUCAACUUACCUUGGGCUUCUGCAAAACAGUCAAGAAAACUGCUUUUUAUUAUUUUCUGUUUUCUGAAUCAGCAACUCUGUCACAAGCUAGAAGUCCCUGUAUUAUUCUUCAUUCUAUUACUUUUCAUGUAAGACUUGAAAACUCUUGGGAGCCUUGGUCUACUAAUUCAUAUGUCAUGUUUGAGUUACAUUUUAGAAAUAGCAAAUACACUUGAGGCAAACAGGCCCUAGUUUUGUUUUGUUUGUCUUCUCCUCACUGAAAUUAAAUUAAAAUCUAUACCUUUCCUCUGAUGUUAGUAACCUCUUUGUUUUGUUUCUUUAAUAAAGAGAAAAACACUAUUCACAACCGCAGUCCCAAAACAAUCUCCAGGGAUUAUCUAAGCAACGCACUUGUUUCCAGGCAUUAGUGCACUUAUUGUAUUAAUAUUUCAUAAACAACAUAAUACUACUGAUAAUUAGUAGUCUUAUAAAUGAAUAACAACUUUGAAUAAUCUGGUCUUAACAUAAUAACUUGAAGUUAACUGAGCUCAUUAAGUUAUAAUAAUUUAGGCAGAGAUUUUCUAUUUACAUGACAAGGAUUAGGAAGCCUUUACCUUUAAGCUAAUACAUGAAUAUGAGAAAUCAGUUUUGAAAGGAUGAUUAUCAUUAUUGGUAUUAUUACUAACACUGAAGAUUUACACAAAUCAUAGCAUGUAGAACCUUUAUAAAGAAAAGGUUCAUUCAAAAUUUAAAGGGCAAUGCCCAGUUAGUUUCAGCGUAUUUACAUCUUCCAGGCCUGCACAUAUGGACACUUAAUGCCAGGAAGGGAACAAGCUGUGUGGAAAGAAAAAAGCUUGACCUUGUAUCAGUCACUCACUAGCUGUUUGACCCCUAGCAAUUAACCUAAAUUUUCUGAGCCUCAGUUUUCUUGAAUGUGAAGUAGAGAUCAAAGUGCCUAUCACAUAGUUGUGAUAAGAGGAUUGGGUGACAUGAAGUCUAUAAAGUUGCUGCAGAGAACCCACACAAGCAAGCAUUCUGGGAGACACUUUUUUUCUGAAAUUGAUAGUAAUCAAUGUUCACGUCUCUAAAAUGGUAACUCACUCUAACAACCUAUUUCCAGGGUUGCAUGUGUGUUCUAGGUUGAUUUAUGUACAGUUUCUCCAGCUCUGAGCCAGUGCAAACAUGGCUGAGGCCUUUGUACCUCCUUUCACUACUUGAAGUGUUAACUCCCACUGGACUGGGAAUCACAAUUGCAUUGCCUGAUGGCUGGUAAUGCGCUUUAGAUACAAACUUAGAGACAUUUUUCACCUUCUGGAACAACAACAAAAAAUACUGAAAACGGUGCUGGUGAAAGGAAUCUUCCUCAUAAUCGAAUUUGAAGCGAUCUUUUCCAGAGGAUUCACGAAUGGCCCAGUGUUGUUUGCUCUGCAUAGUGAUAUGCAUUGUUCCACCAAACAUGGUUUGUUUUAUUUCUUACUUAU